GACGAACGCUGGCGGCGUGCUUAACACAUGCAAGUCGAACGGAAAGGCCCUGCUUUUGUGGGGUGCUCGAGUGGCGAACGGGUGAGUAACACGUGAGUAACCUGCCCUUGACUUUGGGAUAACUUCAGGAAACUGGGGCUAAUACCGGAUAGGAGCUCCUGCUGCAUGGUGGGGGUUGGAAAGUUUCGGCGGUUGGGGAUGGAUUCGCGGCUUAUCAGCUUGUUGGUGGGGUAGUGGCUUACCAAGGCUUUGACGGGUAGCCGGCCUGAGAGGGUGACCGGCCACAUUGGGACUGAGAUACGGCCCAGACUCCUACGGGAGGCAGCAGUGGGGAGUAUUGCACAAUGGGCGGAAGCCUGAUGCAGCAACGCCGCGUGCGGGAUGACGGCCUUCGGGUUGUAAACCGCUUUCGCCUGUGACGAAGCGUGAGUGACGGUAAUGGGUAAAGAAGCACCGGCUAACUACGUG
rnacentral:rRNA from 1 species